rnacentral:rRNA from 1 species
UGCAGUCGAGGAGAGGGAAGUGCUUGCACUUUCUGGAGACUGGCGGACGGGUGAGUAACGCGUAGCCAACCUGCCUUUAGCUGGGGGAUAACAUUCCGAAAGGGAUGCUAAUACCGCAUAAUGCAGCGGGGCCGCAUGGCCACAGUUGUUAAAGGUUUCGACCGGCUAAAGAGGGGGCUGCGUGCUAUUAGUUAGUUGGUGAGGUAACGGCUCACCAAGGCGAUGAUAGCUAGGGGGUCUGAGAAGGAUGAUCCCCCACACUGGGACUGAGACACGGCCCAGAACUCCUACGGGAGGCAGCAGUGAGGAAUCUUGCGCAAUGGGCGAAAGCCUGACGCAGCCACGCCGCGUGCCGGAUGAAGGCCCUAUGGGUUGUAAACGGCUUUUAAGCAGGAAGAACGACCGGAUUUCGAUCUGGUGUGACGGUACUGCUUGAAUAAGCACCGGCUAACUCCGUGCCAGCAGCCGCGGUAAUACGGAGGGUGCAAGCGUUGUCCGGAAUCAUUGGGUGUAAAGGGUGCGUAGGCGGGCGUCUAAGUCUGGGGUGAAAUCUUGCCGCUUAACGGUAAAAUGGCCUUGGAUACUGGGCGUCUUGA